rnacentral:rRNA from 1 species
UGGGGAAUUUUGGACAAUGGGGGAAACCCUGAUCCAGCCAUCCCGCGUGUGCGAUGAAGGCCUUCGGGUUGUAAAGCACUUUUGGCAGGAAAGAAACGUCGCGGGUUAAUACCCCGCGAAACUGACGGUACCUGCAGAAUAAGCACCGGCUAACUACGUGCCAGCAGCCGCGGUAAUACGUAGGGUGCAAGCGUUAAUCGGAAUUACUGGGCGUAAAGCGUGCGCAGGCGGUUCGGAAAGAAAGAUGUGAAAUCCCAGAGCUUAACUUUGGGAACUGCAUUUUUUAACUACCGGGCUAGAGUGUGUCAGAGGGAGGUGGAAUUCCGCGUGUAGCAGUGAAAUGCGUAGAUAUGCGGAGGAACACCGAUGGCGAAGGCAGCCUCCUGGGAUAACACUGACGCUCAUGCACGAAAGCGUGGGGAGCAAACAGGAUUAGAUACCCUGGUAGUCCACGCCCUAAACGAUGUCAACUAGCUGUUGGGGCCUUCGGGCCUUGGUAGCGCAGCUAACGCGUGAAGUUGACCGCCUGGGGAGUACGGUCGCAAGAUUAAAACUCAAAGGAAUUGG